UGGUAAGGAGACAUGAUUAAAAGAGGGUUUUGACAUGAGAUUAAAGAUUAAAUGGGUCCAACGCCCUAAUUAGCAAUGAAUGAUCGUCUUUCAUUUCUAAUGGCUCAAUGAAAAUAUUUUAAUUGGAUUGAAAAACACGUAAUUAAAUUGACACAACCUCCCCGAGUUCUUAUUCAACAAUGUUGGCUCGUUGUUGCAAUAACCUAAUAAGUCCAUGGUCAUCCAAGAGCCUAAGAUAACUAUAAAGUCCAAAUUCAAAGGAAUGCAAAAACUGUAGUAGUAGUAGUUACUUCCAAUAUUUGAAAAAUUCGUUUUUGAUAUUGAUUUGUUUUUCUUAAAAAAAAUAGUGGGAGUAUUGUGACAGCCCGUCCCUAAUUUUAAGAAUUUUUAAAGUUUUAAUAAAGGAUUUUACAAAAAUGCCCUUUUUGGGCACGCGCAUUAUUUGAGGUUAAUCGUUGUGUCGUGCCAUCUAAGAUUUUGUUUUCUUGACAUAUGCUUGCAGUAUUCAUCACUACGGACGUGUGGGCGUAGUCGGUUCGUGAUUUGGAGUUUUAUCGAAAAAGUUAUUAACGUUUGAAAUUUGGGAUUUUAAGGAAUUAUAAUUUUAGUAAAAUCUAGAAUUUCUUUUAUGAAAAUGGACGGCCCAGAUUUAAUGAAGAAUGAAAUGGAUGGUUGGGAUGAGAGAAAGGUUUUGUGUGUGUAUGUAUGUGAAGAAAAAGAGGAAGCUGUCGGGGAGGAAGGAAAAACAGAGACAGAAACGG
rnacentral:lncRNA from 1 species